ensembl:lncRNA
GGGCAGUACAGUACGGGGGGAGAGUACAGUACGGGGGGACUCACCAGCUGCGGGGCUGGCGCAGGCGUCCGGCCGAGGGGGUUUCUGCCGGCCCGCGUCCAGGCAUGCGGUCCCGUGGACCCCCGAGAUGGACAUGAGGCCCUCCAGGGGCGUCUGCUCCAUGGAGCCGGUGGGGCCGGCCGGUACACCGCUCCCCGGGUCCGACGCUGGGCCCGGUCCGAGGGUCCGGUCCGGUCUGAGGGUCCGGUCUGAGGGUCCGGUCUGAGGGUCCGGUCUGAGGGUCCGGUCCGGUCCGAGGGUCCGGUCCGACGCUGGGCCCGGUCCGAGGGUCCGGUCUGAGGGUCCGGUCUGAGGGUCCGGUCUGAGGGUCCGGUCCUGUCUGAGGGUCCUGUCUGAGGGGUCCGGUCCGAGGGUCCGCUCCGAGGGUCCGGUCCGAGGGUCCGGUCCGAGGGUCCGGUCCGAGGGGUCCGGCGGAGCUGGGUCCUGGUGGUACCAGAGGACGGAGCGCUCCCAGGGUCUGACGCUGGCUCCGAGGGGCGCUGCCAGGGGGUCCAGGGUGGGUGUGUCUCCGGGGUUCACUGGGUCCAGGUCAUCACUGGAGCUGGUCCGCAGCGGGCUGGAGAGCCGUGGACACCCUCGGUGUGUGAUGGAUCAGGGCUGGGCCUGGGUCAGGGGGUCCGUCUACCUGUGGCUCCGGUCCGGUUGUCGCCCAACUCUAAAGGUCCUCGUGAGGUUGGGGUGUGGACCCAGUGGGUGCCUCCUGGUCUCUGGAUCUAUCCUCAACUCAUCAACACAUGUUACUUAGAUCCUUACAACUAUCUUUACUCCUAGCAUCUCUCCUCCCCUCUCUCCCUCCCUCUGGUGCUGUCUCUCUCUCUCCUCUCUCUCUUGUAUCUGUGUCUCUCUGUCCCUCCCUCUGAUGCUCUAUGUCUCUCUCCCUCUCUCUCUCUCCUUAUCGGGUGAGGUAAUGUGGGGAACGUACAGUGGUCCUUAUCUCCCGUCUGCUCGUCCAAAUCCUCCCCUGGCAGAGAGAGAGAGAGAGAGAGAGAGAGAGAGAGAGAGAG